rnacentral:rRNA from 1 species
UACGGAGGGGGCUAGCGUUGUUCGGAAUGACUGGGCGUAAAGCGCGCGUAGGCGGAUUGGCAAGUUGGGGGUGAAAUCCCGGGGCUCAACCUCGGAAUGGCCUUCAAGACUGCUGGUCUUGAGUUCGAGAGAGGUGAGUGGAAUUCCGAGUGUAGAGGUGAAAUUCGUAGAUAUUCGGAGGAACACCGGUGGCGAAGGCGGCUCACUGGUUCGACACUGACGCUGAGGUGCGAAAGCGUGGGGAGCAAACAGG